rnacentral:rRNA from 1 species
AUUGAACGCUGGCGGCAUGCCUUACACAUGCAAGUCGAACGGCAGCGCGGGAGCAAUCCUGGCGGCGAGUGGCGAACGGGUGAGUAAUAUAUCGGAACGUGCCCAGUAGUGGGGGAUAGCCCGGCGAAAGCCGGAUUAAUACCGCAUACGACCUGAGGGUGAAAGCGGGGGAUCGCAAGACCUCGCGCUAUUGGAGCGGCCGAUAUCAGAUUAGCUAGUUGGUGGGGUAAAGGCCUACCAAGGCAACGAUCUGUAGUUGGUCUGAGAGGACGACCAGCCACACUGGGACUGAGACACGGCCCAGACUCCUACGGGAGGCAGCAGUGGGGAAUUUUGGACAAUGGGGGGAACCCUGAUCCAGCAACGCCGCGUGAAUGAAGAAGGCCUUAGGGUUGUAAAGUUCUUUUGUCUGGGAGCAAAGGUUGUAUGUUAAUAGUAUACAAAGAUGAGAGUACCAGAAGAAUAAGCACCGGCUAACUACGUGCCAGCAGCCGCGGU